UGAAGUAAGUAAGGGCGUACGGUGAAUGCCUUGGUGCCAACAGGCGAAGAAGGACGCGGCAAGCUGCGAAAAUCCUCGGGAAGCUGCAAGCAAGCGAUGAUCCGGGGGUAUCCGAAUGGGGUAACCUGAUCGAGGCAAUACUCGAUCGUUCAUACCUGAAUACAUAGGGUAUGAAACGCGAAACCCGCUGAAGUGAAACAUCUCAGUAAGCGGAGGAAAAGAAAGAGAAAUCGAUUCCGUAAGUAGUGGCGAGCGAAAGCGGAUGGAGCCCAAACCGAAGGUACUCCUUCGGGGUUGUAGGACCACGACAUAUUCGACCAUACUGGAUAGUAGAACAGCCUGGAAAGGCUGGCCGUAGAAGGUGAAAGCCCUGUAGACGAAAUCCAGCGUGGGAAUUAGUGGAAUCCUGAGUAAUACAUCACACGUGGAACGAUGUAUGAAUCAGCGCGGACCACCGCGCAAGGCUAAAUACUAGUUGGCGACCGAUAGUGAACAAGUACCGUGAGGGAAAGGUGAAAAGAACCGCUGUGAGCGGAGUGAAAUAGAACCUGAAACCGUAUGUCUACAAAGUGUCAGAGCAGAGCAAUCUGCGAUGGCGUGCCUUUUGUUUAAUGAGUCUGCGAGUCAGUGUUUGUGGCAAGACUAAGGGCUUCCGGCCCGGAGUCGCAGCGAAAGCAAGUCCGAAUAGGGCGAAUUAAGUCGCAGGUACUGGACCCGAAGCGGAGGUGACCUACCCUUGGCCAGGUUGAAGCAUGGGUAAAACCAUGUGGAGGACCGAACAGGUGAACGUUGAAAAGUUCUCUGAUGAGCUGAGGGUAGGAGUGAAAGGCUAAUCAAACCCCGUGAUAGCUGGUUCUCUUCGAAAUGCAUUUAGGUGCAGCGUCACGUGCUGAUGCGCGGGGGUAGAGCACUGACAAGGCUAGGGGGCACACCCGCUUACCAAACCUUAUCAAACUCCGAAUACCGUGCAAUGGAACGUGGCAGUGAGACAGUGGGGGAUAAGCUUCAUUGUCGAGAGGGAAACAACCCAGACCAGCAGCUAAGGUGCCUAAAUAACGCUCAGUGGAAAGGAUGUGGGAUUACACAGACAGUGAGGAUGUUGGCUUAGAAGCAGCCACCAUUUAAAAAAUGCGUAAUAGCUUACUCAUCGAGUGAUCCUGCGCCGAAAAUGAUUGGCGAUCAAGCGUUAUACCGAAGCUCUGGACUUUACCUUACGGUAGAGUGGUAGAAGAGCGUUGCAUGCGCGUUGAAGGGUGAUGGCGACUGACCCUGGAGCACAUGCAAGUGAGUAUGCAGACAUGAGUAACGUAAAGCCGGGUGAAAUCCCCGGCCGCCGUAAACCCGAGGUUUCCAGGGCAACGUGUUUCGUCCCUGGGUUAGCCGGGACCUAAGCCGAGGCCGAGAGGCGUAGGCGAUGGAUAUCAGGUUAAUAAUCCUGAGCUCGCGACCCUUAAACUGGGGGGACGCAUGAGAAAAGAUGACUAGGUUAUUGAAUUCCGAGUUGAGUCCACGGACUCAGCGCAUCAUUGGAUCGAGUGCCAAGAAAAGCCCCAGCGUAUGCUAAGCGACCCGUACCGCAAACCGACACAGGUGGGUGGGUAGAAUAUACCAAGGCGUAAGAGUGAAACCUGGUUAAGGAACUCGGCAAAUUAGCCCCGUAACUUCGGAAGAAGGGGUGCCUGCAGCGAUGCAGGCCGCAGAGAAAUGGCCCAACCGACUGUUUAUCAAAAACACAGCACUCUGCAAAGACGCAAGUCGAAGUAUAGGGUGUGACACGUGACCAAUGCCGAAAGAUUAAGGCAAGGGGUUAGCCGCAAGGCGAAGCUCUGAACCCAAGUCCCGGUGAAUGUCGGCCGUAACUAUAACGGUCCUAAGGUAGCGAAAUUCCUUGUCGGGU
rnacentral:rRNA from 1 species